ensembl:snRNA U2 U2 spliceosomal RNA
AUUGCUUCUUGGCCUUUUGGCUAAGAUCAAGUGUAGAGAUGGAAAUUAUAACUUGUUUAGAUUUUUGUCCUUCUCAGAAGGGCCAUGUCACCCAUUAAUCACCUCCUGUGAAUACAAGGACCACUGAGAGGAGUAGCAUGU